UACUAUGCUACUCUGUUCUGGCCAAUGAGAUGUAAGUGGAAGUGCUAUGUGCAGCAUUGAGGACGUUCUUCAAAAAGAGAUGAUUCACUAUUCUUUCCCUUCUUCCUGUUGGUUGAAAUCAUAUCUGCUGGCUAGAGCUCCUUCAGAAAGGCAAAGCAACAAGACUAAAGGAGCCCAAGUCCUUGACACUGUGGAAUACCAUAACCAGCUCUGGACUUCCUACCUCAAGAUCUCUUUUACAAAGACAGAAGUAAACUUAUGUCUUGUUUAAGCCACCAUUAUCUUAGGUUUUCUGUCAUAUGCAGCCAAAGUUAAUCCUGUUCAUUGUGUGAAGCCACGUCUCACAAGUGAAGAAUAGGAACCUGUAGAUAUGCAGGCAGCACCUCUCCAUCUCUCUCUGCUUCUGUUUCAUUUUCUCUCAGGGGCCUACUGCUGUGCAUGAAGGUGGUAUGGACCCAGAAGAGGUUUGAGGAGAUACUUAAAUAUGCAUCUACUAUAACAGCAUUAUGCAAUACUUGGAGUAAAAACAAUUAUCCCUAUUCUGACUUCCAAUUUUAUUAUUCAUAAGUAUUGUAUCUUAAAUACUUUUUCACAUGCAUAGUGUAUAUAAUUACAAUAAUAUCUAGUUUUUGCCAUAUACAUGAAAACUACAUACAAUUUAGUAUUAUGCCGUUUUCUCUUGACAUAUCACACACGGUUCCCUAUAUCGGUACAUAAGUUUUCUAUUUUUCCUUUUUACUUGACUGUAAUGUUCCUUAAAUUGAUAUACUAUAUUUUACUAAGGAAGUUACAUAUUGUUUAAUAUUUGAAUUACUUCCCAUUUUUUGUUUUGUAAAGAAUAAAUACUGUUAUCAUAUAGCUUUUGUUUUUGUUUGUUUUUUAAUCAUUUCCUGGGAAAUAUUCUUAAAACUAGAAUUACUGAGUCAAUGGGAAUGAACAUAGUUGUGUCUUUUGAAAUGUAUCGUCAGCUUACUUUUGAAAGGGAUUGCACCAGUGUGUGAUGCCACUAGAAGUAUAUGUGAAUUUGUCUCACCAUGAUUAAACAUUUUUCAAAAUUGUUAGCUUAUUCAUACUGACGGAAACACACUACUUACUCAAUGUUUUAGAAUAUGUACAUAGAAAAAAAUACUUAAAUGUGUACUAAUCCAUAAUAUAAUAACAUGCUUGUACCUAAUAAAUAUGUGAUAAAUUCCA